CCUACGGGGGGCAGCAGUGGGGAAUAUUGGGCAAUGGGCGCAAGCCUGACCCAGCAACGCCGCGUGAAGGAAGAAGGCUCUCGGGUUGUAAACUUCUUUUAUCAGGGACGAAGCCAGUGACGGUACCUGAUGACUAAGCCACGGCUAACUACGUGCCAGCAGCCGCGGUAAUACGUAGGUGGCAAGCGUUAUCCGGAUUUACUGGGUGUAAAGGGCGUGUAGGCGGGAAAGCAAGUCAGAUGUGAAAACCAUGGGCUCAACCUGUGGCCUGCAUUUGAAACUGUUUUUCUUGAGUACUGGAGAGGCAGACGGAAUUCCUAGUGUAGCGGUGAAAUGCGUAGAGAUUAGGAGGAACACCAGUGGCGAAGGCGGUCUGCUGGACAGCAACUGACGCUGAGGCGCGAAAGCGUGGGGAGCAAACAGGAUUAGAUACCCUGGUAGUC
rnacentral:rRNA from 1 species